rnacentral:rRNA from 1 species
GAUGAACGCUGGCGGCGUGCCUAAUACAUGCAAGUCGAGCGAACGGACGAUACGCUUGCUUCUCUGACGUUAGCGGCGCACGGGUGUGUCACACGUGUAUAACCUACCUAUAAGACUGGGAUCACUUCGGGAAACCGGAGCUAAUACCGUAUAAUAUUUUGAACCGCAUGGUUCAAAAGUGAAAGACGGUCUUGCUGUCACUUAUAGAUGGAUCCGCGCUGCAUUAGCUAGUUGGUAAGGUAACGGCUUACCACGGCAACGAUGCAUAGCCGACCGGAGAGGGUGAUAGGCGACCUUGGAACGGGGACACGGUCCAGGCUCCUACGGGACGCAGCAGUAGGGAAUCUGACGCAAUGGGCGAAAGCCUGACGGAGCAACGCCGAGUGAGUGAUGAAGGUCUUCGGAUCGUAAAACUCUGUUACGAGGGAAAAACAGAUGUGUAAGGAACUGUGCACAGCUUGACGGUACCGAAUAAGAAAGCCACGGCUAACUACGUG